UUAAAAUCAGUUCUUUUAAAGUUUAAGUUCUACUGAUUAUGUUUGCAUUAUAUUGAAUUCCAGUAUGAUGUGAUCACUCUUGCCCAAAGUUCUGGCAUCUUUAAAUCCCUCUUAUCACUUCUUCUCUAUUAGUUAGAAUUAGGUCCAGUAUAGCUUUUCCUCUAGUUUCCUCCUCUACCUUUUGGAUGACAAAGUUGUCUGCUAGGUUGCUUAGGAUUAUGUUUGAUCUCCCACUUGCUGCAGAGUUUGUCUCCCAGUUGGUAUCAGGGUAGUUAAUCUCCCAUUACUACUAUGGUAUAUUUCCUAAAUACAUUUGUUAAUUGUUUAGCGAAAGAUUCAUCUAUUUCUUCUGCUUUGUUGGAUGGCCUGUAGUAUGUGCCUAGAGCAAUGUCAUUCUUUUUUCCUUUUAUAUUGACCUAUAUGGAUUCUAGGAAGGUUUCAUCCUUGGAUUUCUGUAGAGAUAUAGUGAUCUUUUAAUGCAAUGCCACUUUCUCUUUUCUAAGGUUUGUUUAUUUUGAAUAGUUUGUAUCCUAUCAGUACAUUUCAGUCAUGAGUUUCAUAUGUUUCAAUAAUGACAACUAUAUCAUAUUUAUCUUCAGGCACUAGCAUUCCAGCUUCACCCUAUUUGUUCCCUAAACACUGAACGUUUGUGUAUAGGCAUUUGAGUCCUUUAUGGGUCUUAGGUAUAUUUCUUAUAUCUCCUAUUUUUCAGCUUUAUAUCACU